UCCGCAUGUUCACAUGAUUAAAGGUAUUCCGGUAGACGAUGGGGAUGCGUUCCAUUAGAUAGUAGGCGGGGUAACGGCCCACCUAGUCUUCGAUGGAUAGGGGUUCUGAGAGGAAGGUCCCCCACAUUGGAACUGAGACACGGUCCAAACUCCUACGGGGGGCAGCAGUGAGGAAUAUUGGUCAAUGGGCGAGAGCCUGAACCAGCCAAGUAGCGUGAAGGAUGACUGCCCUAUGGGUUGUAAACUUCUUUUAUAAAGGAAUAAAGUCGGGUAUGCAUACCCGUUUGCAUGUACUUUAUGAAUAAGGAUCGGCUAACUCCGUGCCAGCAGCCGCGGUAAUACGGAGGAUCCGAGCGUUAUCCGGAUUUAUUGGGUUUAAAGGGAGCGUAGAUGGAUGUUUAAGUCAGUUGUGAAAGUUUGCGGCUCAACCGUAAAAUUGCAGUUGAUACUGGAUAUCUUGAGUGCAGUUGAGGCAGGCGGAAUUCGUGGUGUAGCGGUGAAAUGCUUAGAUAUCACGAAGAACUCCGAUUGCGAAGGCAGCCUGCUAAGCUGCAACUGACAUUGAGGCUCGAAAGUGUGGGUAUCAAACAGGAUUAGAUACCCUGGUAGUCCACACGGUA
rnacentral:rRNA from 1 species